rnacentral:rRNA from 1 species
AGAGUUUGAUCCUGGCUCAGGACGAACGCUGGCGGCGUGCCUAAUACAUGCAAGUCGAACGAAGCUUUCUUUCACCGAAUGCUUGCAUUCACCGAAAGAAGCUUAGUGGCGAACGGGUGAGUAACACGUAGGCAACCUGCCCAAAAGAGGGGGAUAACACUUGGAAACAGGUGCUAAUACCGCAUAACCAUGAACACCGCAUGAUGUUCAUGUAAAAGACGGCUUUUGCUGUCACUUUUGGAUGGGCCUGCGGCGUAUUAACUUGUUGGUGGGGUAACGGCCUACCAAGGUGAUGAUACGUAGCCGAACUGAGAGGUUGAUCGGCCACAUUGGGACUGAGACACGGCCCAAACUCCUACGGGAGGCAGCAGUAGGGAAUCUUCCACAAUGGACGAAAGUCUGAUGGAGCAACGCCGCGUGAAUGAAGAAGGCCUUCGGGUCGUAAAAUUCUGUUGUCAGAGAAGAACGUGCGUGAGAGUAACUGUUCACGUAUUGACGGUAUCUGACCAGAAAGCCACGGCUAACUACGUGCCAGCAGCCGCGGUAAUACGUAGGUGGCGAGCGUUGUCCGGAUUUAUUGGGCGUAAAGGGAACGCAGGCGGUCUUUUAAGUCUGAUGUGAAAGCCUUCGGCUUAACCGAAGUAGUGCAUUGGAAACUGGAAGACUUGAGUGCAGAAGAGGAGAGUGGAACUCCAUGUGUAGCGGUGAAAUGCGUAGAUAUAUGGAAGAACACCAGUGGCGAAAGCGGCUCUCUGGUCUGUAACUGACGCUGAGGUUCGAAAGCGUGGGUAGCAAACAGGAUUAGAUACCCUGGUAGUCCACGCCGUAAACGAUGAGUGCUAAGUGUUGGAGGGUUUCCGCCCUUCAGUGCUGCAGCUAACGCAUUAAGCACUCCGCCUGGGGAGUACGGUCGCAAGACUGAAACUCAAAGGAAUUGACGGGGGCCCGCACAAGCGGUGGAGCAUGUGGUUUAAUUCGAAGCAACGCGAAGAACCUUA